ACGUUGAAGUACACGGCAGCGAUAUGUCGCAAAAUAUACAAAAGCGUCCGUUCUGCAACAGCAUCGUCGGCUGCCUCAGCUCAAGAAGGAAGCGGUCACUGGCAUCUCUCAGACGGUCGGCGAAUGCGAUGUAAACAGGCACCGCUCGCACCGCCGCGCGCGCGCCAUUAAUCACAGAACGAAUGCGAUUUGCAGUCUCGAAAAACUUGUUACGAGGACGUACUUCACGCACAAGAAGUAAUUUCCUAUCUAACCGGAUGGCGAUGUGGGAACUAACAUCCAGGCUUGAUGCUACCUACGCCAAGAUGCCGGUGAUCAGAGAGGGAGGAUCAAACGACGCCGCACUUACUCCCAUGCGAUAUCACACGCGAUAAACCGUACAGCACAAGGUCAGCACAAGGUCAGCACAAGGUCAGCACAAGGUCAGCACAAGGCCAGCAUAAGGUCAGCAUAAGAUCAGCACAAGGUCAGCAUAAGGUCAGCACGUUAGCAGACGACUCUCUCUCUAUCUUCUAACCACGUUCAUCAUCACCGUGCCGCGGCCAUCGUCCCUCUCACUCACGCUUAGCUCGCCCGCGGAGAGACACCUAUAGACACCUAUAGACAGUUAUAUACAGCUGUAGACACAUAUAGACACCUAUAGACAGGUAUAUACAACUGUAGACACCUAUAGACAGUUAUAUACAGCUGUAGACACCUAUAGACACCUAUAGACAGGUAUAUACAACUGUAGACACAUAUAGACAGUUAUAUACCGCUGUAGACACCCAUAGACAGUUAUAUACAGCUGUAGACACAUAUAGACACCUAUAGACAGGUAUAUACAACUGUAGACACCUAUAAACAGUUAUACACAACUGUAGACACCAGGUCCUAUAGACAGUUAUAUACAGCUGUAUACACCUAUAGACACCUAUAGACAGUUGUAUACAAGUAUAGACAGCUAUAAACGUCUAUAGACGUCUAUAUACAUCUCUAGAGACCUAUAGACAUCUAUAGACACCUAUAGACACCUAUAGAUAGUUAUAUACAGCUAUAGACAGUUAUAAACGUCUAUAGACAUCUAUAGAUACCUAUAGAAAGCUAUACAAGCGAUAUACAGCUAUGGAUAGCUAUACUCUAUAGACUCUAUAUAGCAAUCUAUAGGCAACUAUAGCUAGCUAUAGAUAUGAUUUUUGUAAUAAAUUUAGUUUACGUUCAUCGUUCGACUUCGCGCGCGGUAUUGCGAACGUCGGACGUCUUUCCCGGUGCGUCACUUCCUCUGCUUCCCCUACCUUCCCCCGGCGUACAGCGUCGCGGGAAGAUACCAGAAGCUAACGAGAAUGCACGCAGCAGCAAGAGACAACGUACGAAACGUCAAUGACCAGUAACUUCCUCCCCCCCCCCCUCCCUCCCCGCGUAAUUUCCCCCUCUCGAGCAUGCUUUCGCAAACACGUCACGCCUCGUGUGAAUCGCUAAUACUAUAUACGGAUUUUGUUGACGCUCGUGCGGACGGAAAAGAAGAUAAAAUUGUGUACGAUGUUAGAACAAGCUACGCCAAUCUCGCGAGAGAAUUGCGCUAUUUAUGAUUGAUUAUGAAGAGUGUUUAGUCGUUGUUGGGAAAUCUUACGCGAGGAAAGACAGGAAGGCAACCGUGUCGACUAAUUGGAUAGUUACGUGACCACGUGACAGUGUUAAAAAAAGCAUCGUGCUGUUUUAUUAUUAACUAGACAGCUUUCAUGUUUACUUAUACAUAUCAGUUAUUGAGUAAUCGUUAGUUUUCUUAUAGUUCAUUGAUCACGCAGCCUUCAGGAUUUGUUUGAACAGGUAUCGUUCUUGCUCACCAUAUAAAAACUUGCGUAUUCGCACAUGACCUAUCCGAUGGACGGACACAAGUUGGGGUUGACAUUUUCGAAUAUGUUCACUUUUAAUUGCUGCAAUAUUCUGUAAUAUUUUGUGGUCAAUCGAGAUCGUUUUCUUAGAGUUAGAUAAUAUUCAUAAUGCAUAUCAUCUAAUUACGGAUGUUAACAGGCAGUCCGUUUCGAUAUAUUCGAGAUUGACUACAUAGACUAUACUCGCAAUUAUAUACAUAAAUAUAUACGUUUCGUACAUGGGUUAUCUACUGCACAGUGCUAUUUCGAAUAGCGUGAGGCUACAUUAGGCCCCACGGCUGCUAUUCGUUUGCUUUGUUGUAUUUCUAUGCACGUAUUCUUUGGGGAUUCAAUAUAGCACCGAAAACGCGGUCAUAUUCUCGCUAUCGUUAACUCUUUGACAUCGCCGUCAUUACACGGACGACGUUUCAUCAAAAAUUAUCCGACAGACAACUUGUGAAAUGCGCAAGUAAUGAUGUAGUAGUAAGGUACGUGUGGUAAGCCGUAAUGAAAAGGUCAGCGUUUUGGCACAGUAAUGUACAAACGACCGUUCUGUAAAAAUAAAGAUGGCGGUGAAUAAAGGAUUUUUUUUCGAUAA
rnacentral:lncRNA from 1 species